AUCUCUCUCUUUGAUGCACAUCUUCAAAAGCAGACAAUUUUAACUUUACCAAACAUCCAAAACUCCAAAGCCCUUUCUCUCUCUUCGAUGAACAGCCUCUUCUUCUUCAUUUGAACAAUCAACAGUAACCAGCAUACCAUCACCACACACCACCGUGAGCUGUCGUGAUCGGAGCUUCUCCGAUGACAAAUCAACCCAAAUCACCGCUCCAGGUCUUCGUCUCUCAUCUGCGAAUCACAUAUCCAACAAUCCCAAAAAGAAAUUCAACAUUCAGCCACUAAUUUCAUCAUUCUUCGUCUGAAACCCAGCAACAACAUCUCGAUCAGUAGCUCCACCUUUCUGAAACUGCUUCAAAUCCCACUUACCUGAAACCCAUUUCGGAUCAUCAAACACCACAACAAUCGGCGAACUGUCGUCGGCAUCCACCGCCGUCAUCGGUCGAGCGAAUGACUCCGGCGAAAGACAUUGGAUGAUGAAACUUGUAGAUCUUUCACCACAGAGAUAGAUGGCAGAAUUUCGUCGAGUGUUUUUCGUCGGGGGGUUUCGUGGGGAUGUGUUUCUCGUCGGACCUGAUAUGAGGAAACCCUGAAGAACACAGCCACUGUUUCUUUUGCAAAUUUUACGAGAAUCCUUAAAAACAUGAUAUUUGAUGAUGAAAACUUGUUGAUUUCGGUGUGAAACAUAAAAACUAACACUCGUAUAUGUUCUGU
rnacentral:lncRNA from 1 species